CUACGGGUCGCUGCAGUGGGGAAUAUUGGACAAUGGGGGAAACCCUGAUCCAGCAAUGCCGCGUGUGUGAAGAAGGGUUGAGGGUUGGGAAGAAGGGGGGGGAGGGAGGCCUGCUUCUAGCACUAAUAUUGUUGGAAGUUGACGUUACCUUCAGAAGAAGCACCGGCUAACUCCGUGCCAGCAGCCGGCGGUAAUACGGAGGGUGUAAGCGUUAAUCGGAAUUACUGGGCGUAAAGCGCGCGUAGGCGGCUAGAUCAGUCGGGUGUGAAAGCCCCGGGCUUAACCUGGGAACUGCAUCCGAUACUGUCUAGCUUGAGUACAGGAGAGGAGAGUGGAAUUCCACAUGUAGCGGUGAAAUGCGUAGAUAUGUGGAGGAACACCAAUGGCGAAGGCAGCUCUCUGGCCUGAUACUGACGCUGAGGUGCGAAAGCGUGGGGAGCAAACAGGAUUAGAUACCCUCGUAGUC
rnacentral:rRNA from 1 species